rnacentral:lncRNA from 1 species
UCUUCCCCUCAAAUGCACGCUACCACGUCCUCCACAAUCAGGCCACUAGUCCAACCCAGAGCCCACAAUAAUAAAUAAGACCUAGGCUUGGAUCGAGACAUGGCCCAUACUUAUCUAGAUGGUCCAAGCUCACCUAUCUCUAGCCUGAUCUUGGGCCUCAGUCCAAGCCUCAGCCCAAUACCCACCCAAGCUCGGCCCUAAACUUCAUUUUUUUUAAAUUGGAUCUCUGGAUCGAGGCUCGAUCUAUGUUUAUCUUGCGUCAGUGCAUACAAAUCCAACUAAAGCCUAUUUUAUCAUUUUUUUUCCUUCCCAUGCUCACCUACAUCCGACCUAUGCCCACCUAUCCCUGACACAUCUUCACACUAUUCAUUGAGCCUAAGCCGAGCCCAAGUCUCAAUCCAAGCUCCAACCAUGAUUCUGAGCCUCUGGCCCUAAACCUUUUUCUUUGUUUAACAGAAGCUUUGGACUAAGGCCCAAUCCAUGUUUACUUUCCCUGGUCCAUACAGAUGCAACUAUCGCAUGUGUUUAACCUUUAUUUAUUUAUUUUUUUUUUUGCAAAC